rnacentral:rRNA from 1 species
GGCCCUUCGGCAGCUAUACAUGCAGUCGAACGGUUGUAGUGAUACAAUAGUGGCGCACGGGUGCGUAACACGUAUGCAACCUACCUUAUAGACGGGGAUAGCCUUUGGAAACGGAGAUUAAUACCCGAUAGCAUAUAUUGAUGGCAUCGUUGAUAUAUUAAAGAUUUAUCGCUAUAAGCUGGGCAUGCGUCCAAUUAGUUAGUUGGUUAGGUAAUGGCUGACCAAGACGAUGAUUGGUAGGGGAACUGAGAGGUUAAUCCCCCACACUGGCACUGAGAUACGGGCCAGACUCCUACGGGAGGCAGCAGUAGGGAAUAUUGGGCAAUGGAGGCAACUCUGACCCAGCCAUGCCGCGUGCAGGAUGAAGGCGUUAUGCGUUGUAAACUGCUUUUAUAUAGGAAGAAAUAGACCUUGCGAGGUAAUUUGACGGUACUAUAUGAAUAAGCACCGGCUAACUCCGUGCCAGCAGCCGCGGUAAUACGGAGGGUGCAAGCGUUGUCCGGAUUUAUUGGGUUUAAAGGGUGCGUAGGCGGUUUAUUAAGUCAGUGGUGAAAGACGGUCGCUCAACGAUUGCAGUGCCAUUGAUACUGGUAGACUUGAGUGGGAUUGAGGUAGCUGGAAUGGAUAGUGUAGCGGUGAAAUGCAUAGAUAUUAUCCAGAACACCAAUUGCGUAGGCAAGUUACUAAGUCUCAACUGACGCUGAGGCACGAAAGUGUGGGUAUCAAACAGGAUUAGAUACCCUGGUAGUCCACACUGUAAACGAUGAUAACUAACUGUUGGCUUUCGGGUCAGUGGUACAGAGAAAUCGUUAAGUUAUCCACCUGGGGAGUACGCCGGCAACGGUGAAACUCAAAGGAAUUGACGGGGGUCCGCACAAGCGGUGGAGCAUGGGGGUUUAAUUCGACGAUACGCGAGGAACCUUACCUAGGCUAGAAUGGUGGAAGGAAUGUAUCAGAAAAUGGUGCAGUCAGCAAUGACCUGA